rnacentral:rRNA from 1 species
UACGUAGGCAGCAAGCGUUGUUCGGAGUUACUGGGCGUAAAGGGCGCGUAGGCGCCUUCUAAGUCGAACGUGAAAUCCCCGGGCUCAACCCGGGAACUGCGUCCGAUACUGGAAGGCUUGAAUCCGGGAGAGGGAUGUGGAAUUCCAGGUGUAGCGGUGAAAUGCGUAGAUAUCUGGAGGAACACCGGGUGGCGAAGGCGACAUCCUGGACCGGUAUUGACGCUGAGGCGCGAAAGCCAGGGGAGCAAAGCGGG